rnacentral:tRNA from 1 species
GAGGGUAUAGCCCAGUGGUAGAGCGCAUGCUUAGCAUGCACGAGGUCCUGGGUUCAAUCCCCAGUACCUCCU